UACGUACCGUACGAACGUUAUUCGGAAUUACUGGGCGUAAAGGGCGCGUAGGCGGUCUGUUAAGUUCGGUGUGAAAUCCCCUGGCUCAACUGGGGAACUGCGCUGGAAACUGGCAGACUCGAGUACCGGAGAGGCGAGUGGAAUUCCUGGUGUAGAGGUGAAAUUCGUAGAUAUUGGGAAGAACACCGGUGGCGAAGGCGGCGAGCUGGCCUGUACCUGACGCUGAGGCGCGACAGCGUGGGGAGCAAACAGG
rnacentral:rRNA from 1 species